UACGGGAGGCAGCAGGUGGGGAAUAUUGCACAACUGGGCGCAAGCCUGAUGCAGCCGAUGCCGCGUGUAUGAAAAGGCCUUCGGGUUGUAAAGUACUUUCAGUCGUGAGGAAGGUGUUAAGGUUAAUAACCUUAGCAAUUGACGUUAGCGACAGAAGAAGCACCGGCUAACUCCGUGCCAGCAGCCGCGGUAAUACGGAGGGUGCGAGCGUUAAUCGGAAUUACUGGGCGUAAAGGGCACGCAGGCGGUUAAUUAAGUUGGAUGUGAAAUCCCCGGGCUUAACCUGGGAAUGGCAUUCAAGACUGGUUAGCUAGAGUCUUGUAGAGGGGGUAGAAUUCCAUGUGUAGCGGUGAAAUGCGUAGAGAUGUGGAGGAAUACCGGUGGCGAAGGCGGCCCCUGGACAAAGACUGACGCUCAUGUGCGAAAGCGUGGGGAGCAAACAGGGAUUAGAUACC
rnacentral:rRNA from 1 species